GAUGAACGCUGGCGGCGUGCCUAAUACAUGCAAGUCGAGCGAAUGGAUUAAGAGCUUGCUCUUAUGAAGUUAGCGGCGGACGGGUGAGUAACACGUGGGUAACCUGCCCAUAAGACUGGGAUAACUCCGGGAAACCGGGGCUAAUACCGGAUAACAUUUUGAACCGCAUGGUUCGAAAUUGAAAGGCGGCUUCGGCUGUCACAUAUGGAUGGACCCGCGUCGCAUUAGCUAGUUGGUGAGGUAACGGCUCACCAAGGCAACGAUGCGUAGCCGACCUGAGAGGGUGGUCGGCCACACUGGGACUGGGACACGGCCCAGACUCCUACGGGAGGCAGCAGUAGGGAAUCUUCCGCAAUGGGCGAAAGUCUGACGGAGCAACGCCGCGUGAGUGAUGAAGGCUUUCGGGUCGUAAAACUCUGUUGUUAGGGAAGAACAAGUGCUAGUUGAAUAAGCUGGCACCUUGGCGGUACCUAACCAGAAAGCCACGGCUAACCACGUGCCAGCCGCCGCGGUAA
rnacentral:rRNA from 1 species